UACGUAGGCAGCAAGAGUUGUUCGGAGUUACUGGGCGUAAAGAGUGCGUAGGCGGUGUCGAAAGUUUGGCGUGAAAUCUCCCGGCUUAACUGGGAGGGUGCGCCGAAAACUGCGGUGCUGGAGUGUGGGAAAGGCAAGCGGAAUUCCUGGUGUAGCGGUGAAAUGCGUAGAUAUCAGGAGGAACACCGGCGGUGUAGACGGCUUGCUAGACCAUAACUGACGCUGAGGCACGAAAGCGUGGGUAGCAAACAGG
rnacentral:rRNA from 1 species